AGGACGAACGCUGGCGGCGUGCCUCAUACAUGCAAGUGGAGCGACGAACCAGGCUUCGGCCUGGGGCAAAGCCGCGAACGGGUGAGUAACACGUGGGUUACCUGCCCCGAUGAUUGGGACAACCCGAGGAAACUCGGGCUAAUACCAAAUGUGCUCCUGGCCGUGAUGGCCAGGUGGAAAGGAAGCUUCGGCCUCCGCAUCGGGAUGGGCCCGCGGCCCAUUAGCUAGUUGGUGGGGUAAUGGCCUACCAAGGCGACGAUGGGUAGC
rnacentral:rRNA from 1 species